UACGAAGGGUGCAAGCGUUACUCGGAAUUACUGGGCGUAAAGCGUGCGUUGGUGGUUUGUUAAGUCUGAUGUGAAAGCCCUGGGCUCAACCUGGGAAUUGCAUUGGAUACUGGCAGGCUAGAGUGCGGUAGAGGAUGGCGGAAUUCCCGGUGUAGCAGUGAAAUGCGUAGAGAUCGGGAGGAACAUCUGUGGCGAAGGCGGCCAUCUGGACCAGCACUGACACUGAGGCACGAAAGCUAGGGGAGCGAAUGGG
rnacentral:rRNA from 1 species